GCCUGCACCUGGCCUGCACCUGGCCUGGCCUGGCCUGCACCUGGCCUGGCCUGGCCUGCACCUGGCCUGGCCUGGCCUGCACCUGGCCUGCACCUGGAUGAAGCUAUGAUUGCCUUUCCGGAAUGCACCCGGAUGGAGAACUGAGUGCUUGGCUUUCUGGUCUGCAUGUUGAUGAAUUCAUGAAAAUCUAGACUGCCUGGUCAAAGCCAGGAGCGCCUUGGAUGCACCUGGAUGACGACACUACCGCCUUGGAUGCGCUUUGGAUGAGCCUGGACGACGCGGGGACCGCCUUGGAUGCGCCUGGACGACGCUGGAACCGCCUUGGAUGCGCCUGGACGACGCCGGGACCGCCUUGGAUGCGCCUGGACGACGCCGGGACCGCCUUGGAUGCGCCUGGACGACGCGACGCCGGGACCGCCUUGGAUGCACCUUUGCUGCGCCUUUGCUGAGCCUUUGCUGCGCCUGGACGGCACUGGGACCGCCUUUGAUGUGCCUGGACGAAGCCGGGACCACCUUGGAUGCGCCUGGACGACGCCAGGACCGCCUUGGAUGCGCCUUGGAUGUCCUUGGACGACGCCUUGACCGCCUUGGUGGCCUGGAGUACGCCCGGACUACCUUGGAUCCACCUCGUAUGCGCCUAGUCAACACCCAGACUGCCUUGGAUGUGCCUUAAAUACAUCUGGAUGACGCCGGGACCGCCUUUGAGGCGCCUCGGAUGCGCCUGGGUAACGCCGGGACCACCAUGAAUGCGCCUGGACGACGCCGGGACCGCCUUGGGCGCCUGGACGACGGUGGGACUGCCUUGGAUGCACCUGGACGAUGCCGGGACCACCUAGGGCUUCUGGACGAUGCCAGGACUUCCUUGGAUGCGCCUUGGAUACGUCAAGUCAAGUCAAGUUUAUUUGUAUAGCCCUAAAUCACAAGCAGUCUCAAAGGGCUUCACAUAGACAGAAAUUGACAAUUAUUCUCAAAGCAUCCCCUGAUCUUAAGCUCCCAAAAGGGCAAGGAAAAACUUAAAAACCCCUAGCAGGGGGAAAAUGAGAAACCUUGAGAAGGGACCACAGAUGGAAGGAUCCCCCUUUCAGGAUCACCAGGUUGAAAUGGAUGCAGAGAGGGCACAAAUGAUACAACAUGAAAAUCAAUUACGCCUUGGAUGCGCCUUGGAUGCGCAUGGAGGGCGCCGGGACCGCCUUGGAUGCACCUGGACGAUGCCGUGACCGCCUUAGAUAUACUCUGGUGACGUCAAGAGUCAAGAACAACUUGAGUGUGCUUAGAUGAUGCUGGGACCGCGUUGGAUGCGCCUUGGACGACGCCGGGAAAGCCUUGGAUGUGCGUUUGAUGCGCUUGGAUGAUUCCUGGACAGCCUUCUAUGCCCCUGGAUGAAGCCUGGACCGCCUUAGAUGUGCCUGGACGACGCUUGGACCGCGUUGGAUGCCCUUUGAUGAAGCCGGGACCGACUUGGUUGAGCUUGGACGAAGCAGGUACCGCCUUGGAUAUUCUUGGACGACGUCAGGACCACCUUGGAUGUGCCUGGACGACACCGGGACAGUCUUGGAGGCGCCUGGAUGACCCCGGGACCAGCCUGACAGACGCCGGGAUCGCGUUGGAUGUGCCUGGACGACGCCGAGACGGCCUUGGCUGUGCCUAGAUGUGCCUGGACGACGCUGGGACCGCCUUGGAUGCACCUGGACGACGCCGGGAUCGCCUUGGAUCCGACUGGAUGUGCCGAGAUGGCCUUGGAUGCGCCUGGACAACGGCAGGACUGUCUUGGAAGCUUCUGGACAACGGCGGGACCGCCUUGGAUAUGCCUUGAAAUAAGAUACAUUGUCAGGCCAACUGUCACUAUGGCAACAGUCGACAUCACCAUCAUCAUCGCCAUCAUCGUCACCAUCACGUCUGUCAGCACCACCAGCAGCACGCCGACGCCAACCCGGACAACAUAGUCGUUGUCCCCUCAGAGGUCGCCAAGCCGGCCGGGGACAGUGAAUCCAAGGACUGGGAUGAAAUGACUGACAUGUCGUCACGGAGACGCAGAUGCUUUGGCCUCUGCCUUGCUGCACGCCGGCAUGUUUACAUCAGCUGAAGGGUCCGGGGUGGUGUACUUCUUUUUUCCACAGGGAGCAACCGUGAGCAGUGUGGCGGAGGGCUCAGGUGCAGCUCAUCAGGCUCAUUAAAGGAGGGCUCUUAAGGAGCAUGCUGUCAACCACUCAUUGCCUGACCUGUUGUGAUCAACUCCACGGUUGCGCCUCUAGCUCCUCUUGCUCAUUGACGCCACGUUCUCCUGAUCCUCCGAUUCCCUCCACGGCUCACCGCUAAGAUCCACCCCGUCUGGCUGAACUCCACACGCUCCGCCGUUGCUGCUCCUGCUCCUUGCUCCUGGCUCAUAUCCUCCCGCUCUACCUCCACCACAUCUCCUUCAAUAAACACUCAUCACUCAUUCUGAACUUCUAAGUCGGUUUCCCUGCAUGUGGGUUAAAUCAAUCGCCAAAACGAUGACACAUUGUAUUUUACGUAAGUAUAGAAAUUUGUGAAAACAUACUUUACGUUAUGUUGCAUAA